GACGAACGCUGGCGGCGUGCUUAACACAUGCAAGUCGAGCGGUAAGGCCCUUUCGGGGGUACACGAGCGGCGAACGGGUGAGUAACACGUGGGUGACCUGCCCUCAGCUCUGGGAUAAGCCUGGGAAACCGGGUCUAAUACUGGAUAUGACUCCAUGACGCAUGUUGUGGGGUGGAAAGCCUUGUGCGGCUGAGGAUGGGCCCGCGGCCUAUCAGCUUGUUGGUGGGGUGAUGGCCUACCAAGGCGACGACGGGUAGCCGGCCUGAGAGGGCGACCGGCCACACUGGGACUGAGACACGGCCCAGACUCCUACGGGAGGCAGCAGUGGGGAAUCUUGCGCAAUGGGCGAAAGCCUGACGCAGCGACGCCGCGUGAGGGAUGACGGCCUGGUUGU
rnacentral:rRNA from 1 species